rnacentral:rRNA from 1 species
AUUGAACGCUGGCGGCAUGUCUUACACAUGCAAGUCGAACGGCAGCGGGGGAGAAGCUUGCUUUUCCUGCCGGCGAGUGGCGAACGGGUGAGUAAUACAUCGGAACGUGCCCUGUAGUGGGGGAUAACUAGUCGAAAGAUUAGCUAAUACCGCAUACGACCUGAGGGUGAAAGUGGGGGACCGCAAGGCCUCAUGCUAUAGGAGCGGCCGAUGUCUGAUUAGCUAGUUGGUGGGGUAAAGGCCUACCAAGGCGACGAUCAGUAGCUGGUCUGAGAGGACGAUCAGCCACACUGGGACUGAGACACGGCCCAGACUCCUACGGGAGUCAGCAGUGGGGAAUUUUGGACAAUGGGCGAAAGCCUGAUCCAGCAAUGCCGCGUGUGUGAAGAAGGCCUUCGGGUUGUAAAGCACUUUUGUCCGGAAAGAAAUGGCUCUGGUUAAUACCUGGGGUCGAUGACGGUACCGGAAGAAUAAGGACCGGCUAACUACGUGCCAGCCGCCGCAGUAA